UACGACUACAUAUCAGGCAUAUCAAUAAGCGGAGGAAAAGAAACUAACUAGGAUUCCCUCAGUAACGGCGAGUGAAGCGGGAAGAGCUCAAAUUUGAAAUCUUAAAGGGUUCUACCUUGACGAAUUGUAGUUUAAAGAAGUGUUUUCUGUUGGAGUUUCGGUAAAAGUUCUUUGGAAUAGGACAUCAUAGAGGGUGAGGAAUCCCGUAUUUGACCAUUACUUUCCAGCUGUGUGAUACACUUUCAAAGAGUCGGAUUGUUUGGGAAUGCAGUCCAAAAUGGGUGGUAAAUUUCAUCUAAAGCUAAAUAUUGGCGAGAGACCGAUAGCGAACAAGUACCGUGAGGGAAAGAUGAAAAGAACUUUGAAAAGAGAGUUAAACAGUACGUGAAAUUGUCAAAAGGGAAGCGUUUGACACCAGUGUUGUUUAGUUGAAAAUCAAUUCAAUAGUUUUUGAUUCUAAGUAGUAUUGACUUCAUCAGCUUGCUGCUUUCUUCUCAGAAAUUAUUGAAUGCACUUUUCAGUUAACAAGUCAACAUCAAUUUCUUUUGUUGUAAAAGGGUAAGAGGAAGGUGGCUUGCGCUUCGGCUCAAGUGUUUAUAGCCUUUUAUCUCUGCAAUCGGAGAGAUUGAGGUCUGCAGCGUAGAUCCUUCGGGGUUAGAUACAUUGGUGCUAAGCUAUAGCCUUGUAUAGACAACUUGUUGACUAUGCUCAGUCAUGUAGCUUACUCGCUGAUGCUAUUUUACCUACGCUUAGGAUGUUGAGUAGCGACAUACGCAC
rnacentral:rRNA from 1 species